CGAAAAUGUCAUCCACUGUUGUGGAAGUGGCAGAAAGGAGCUUGAGGCUGAUUUUCUACAGCUGAAAAUGCUGAGAUGAAAAUCAAGAGAUUGCUAGCAAACACCUUGCACCAAGCUCAGAUAAGGCACCUGUGGGUUGCUGUUGGGUUUUGGAAUUCAGUGGAACAAUUCUGGUGACUUCUCUCUUUUCAUCUCAUUGAUGUUGCUACUUCCAAGAUCUCAUCAGGUACCAAAGAGAUCCCUGAUGAGUAUGGGAAAGCACAGGAAGUCCAGAGGUCCUUGAAGAAGUCAUUCAGAUCUGUAUGCUGUGCCCAAGUUCAUUGAGGAUUUGGUUUUCCUGUCUCAAUCCUCUAUGCACUCUCAUAUUUUCUUCCAAUGCAUUCACCUCUAAAUGCCUUUCCUGAUGUGAGUAAAAGAACUAUAUAUAACCUGUCAAGUAAUCUAAUAGAGCAGAACAUGUGGUGAGCAUUGUCUGUGACAUGUUGAGCUUUAACAACCCUGCUGAGCCUGCGUAUGUUAAUAUACAGAUAAUGUUGUCAAUCAACCUCUGUGCAUUUCCCUUAACUGUCUGAAGUCAAUACUGAGAUUAGGUGGUACUACAAAGCCACAAAAGCUGGGCUAAGAUAUAUGAGAGAAACCUUACACACCUAACUCAUACGGAAUUUUAAUUAGCUCUAGAGACCUAAAUUCCUUAGCAAUCUCAGUCCUAGAGGAUUAGCAUUCCUGUUCUUGUGUUUUAUUCCAGGCAGAACUGAUAUGGGCUUCUUACAAAGAAAUAGUUGUUUUUAAGCUAAAUCAAAACCUAAGAUAUGAAUAAGCCUGUUUUGGAAGGGCUUGAAAAGUUAGACAAAACUGCCAUUAAAUUCCUUAUGUACU